rnacentral:tRNA from 1 species
GCCUGGGUGGUUCAGUCGGUUAAGUGUCUGACUUUGGCUCAGGUCAUGACCUCAUAGUUCGUGGGUUCGAGUCCCGUGUCAGGCU